rnacentral:rRNA from 1 species
CCGGCACGGGUGAGUAACGCGUAUGCGACCUGCCCGUUGCAGGGGGAUAAUCGGGAGAAAUCCCGUCUAAUACCGCGUAACGCCGCGGGGCUGCAUGGCCCUGCGGCCAAAGGGAGCGAUUCCGGCAACGGAUGGGCAUGCGUGACAUUAGCUAGUUGGCGGGGCAACGGCCCACCAAGGCGACGAUGUCUAGGGGUUCUGAGAGGAAGGUCCCCCACACUGGUACUGAGACACGGACCAGACUCCUACGGGAGGCAGCAG